rfam:Mesitornis unicolor contig78091, whole genome shotgun sequence.
GUGUUGUAUGAAAGGAGAGAAGGUUAGCACUCCCCUUGAUAAGGAUGGAAGAGGCCCUUGUGGUCUAUACAACACGCAUACGGUUAAGGCACUGCCACCUACUUUGUGGCAUCUAACCAUGUUUUUCC